rnacentral:rRNA from 1 species
CCGGAUACCACAAUCUGCCUUGCACUCUGGGAUAAGCCUGGGAAACUGGGUCUAAUACCGGAUAUGAGCCUGGACUGCAUGGUCUGGGUUGGCAAAGGUUUACUGGUGCGAGAUGGGCCCGCGGCCUAUCAGCUUGUUGGUGGGGUAACGGCCUACCAAGGCGACGACGGGUAGCCGACCUGAGAGGGUGACCGGCCACACUGGGACUGAGACACGGCCCAGACUCCUACGGGAGGCAGCAGUGGGGAAUAUUGCACAAUGGGCGAAAGCCUGAUGCAGCGACGCCGCGUGAGGGAUGACGGCCUUCGGGUUGUAAACCUCUUUUGACAGGGACGAAGCGCAAGUGACGGUACCUGUAGAAGAAGCACCGGCCAACUACGUGCCAGCAGCCGCGGUAAUACGUAGGGUGCGAGCGUUGUCCGGAAUUACUGGGCGUAAAGAGCUUGUAGGCGGUCUGUCACGUCGAUUGUGAAAACUUGCAGCUCAACUGCAAGACUUGCAGUCGAUACGGGCAGACUAGAGUACUUCAGGGGAGACUGGAAUUCCUGGUGUAGCGGUGAAAUGCGCAGAUAUCAGGAGGAACACCGGUGGCGAAGGCGGGUCUCUGGGAAGUAACUGACGCUGAGAAGCGAAAGCGUGGGUAGCGAACAGGAUUAGAUACCCUGGUAGUCCACGCCGUAAACGGUGGUACUAGGUGUGGGUUUCCUUCCACGGGAUCCGUGCCGUAGCUAACGCAUUAAGUACCCCGCCUGGGGAGUACGGCCGCAAGGCUAAAACUCAAAGGAAUUGACGGGGGCCCGCACAAGCGGCGGAGCAUGUGGAUUAAUUCGAUGCAACGCGAAGAACCUUACCUGGGUUUGACAUACACCGGAAAGCCAUAGAGAUAUGGCCCCCCUGGCCUUAAAGGCCAAAUCCACAAC